rnacentral:snRNA from 1 species
AGCUUUGCACCGUUGCAGUACCAUAGCCAGUGAUGUUUAUCUGAGGUGCAGUUAUUGCCAAUUGAAAACUUUUACUAAUACCCUGCCGUGAUGACCUGAAAUAUAGUCAUCAUUAGCAAUUUUUGACAGUCUACUGAGA